CUCCACACUAACCGGAAACACGUGACCUCCACAGUAGCCGGAAGCACGUGACCUCCACAGUAGCCGUAAACACGCAUGGAUACCGUGGAAGUCUUGCAAGUUGAUCGCAAAGAUGCACACAUCAAUCUGGAAUUCGGGCUUAAAGCCAGAACUGCAGGAAUGCAACACGUGUUGCAGAGGACUCUUUCACUGCCCUCUGUGCCCCACUUUCAGCCCAACUGUCAGGGCAAAGAUUGAGGAGCAUCUAAGUGUGCAUAUAAAAAAUGCUUUGCCUUUCAAAGAUAAAAUGAUAUGCCGGUGCAGGCUGCCUUGUAGGACAACAGGACACUUUCACCGCCCUGUCUGUAAGAUUACAAUCAUACGGCGUGGGGAUAUGGCAAGGCAUUUAUUGUCUUGUCAGCAUUCUUCAAUGCCAAGUCAGCCACCAUUAUAAGGACUGCUCCCCGCUGAACUCUCCGAGGAGACCCGUAUUCCUCCGGCAGUACUCUUCGAGGAGCCCCGUCUCCUCCCCAAGGUUUUGUCUUUGCUCUGGCAAGCUAUUUGCACACUGGAGAGAGGAAGCCAAAGCUGUGCUUGAAGGACAACACGUGCCCAUUUUCAGACUGAAAAAGCGCAAGUUCCAGGAAGUCAGUCAGGAGCCAGCAGUUGUUGAAGAUCUGCGUCCUGCUGUGCAGUGGGUUGUCCAAAAUAAGGCACUUUUCCGUGGACACGUAACAAUGCCCAAAUAUCUGUCCUUAAAUCAAGGGGACCAGCAGAGGGUCUUAAGAGACAUGUCAGAGGAAGAAGACACUGGAGCAAGGGACUUGUUCCUCUUUGUUUUUCAGUUUGCAGAGGACAUGGAGCUCUUUUUGAAAGCAUGUGCUGAUGAGCAGGGGCUAAGGGUCAGUGCUAUGUUUGACAUGUAAUGGACAAAUGAAGGCACUGGCUGUGUUUGUUUGUUUAAUAUGUUGUUGUUGUUGUUGUUUUGUUUUUGCGUAGUACAAAAUUCCAAUUAAACUUAUUUCAAAAUGUUGUUCACUUUAUUCUGUGUCCAUACUUAUAAUAAAGGAUUACAGUGUAACAGCAUUAAAUGUAAAUGUAACAGCAUUUUUUUUAAACUUGUAAUUUCAAAAUAAAAAGCUUAUUGUUGAUAUUAACAGUAAAGAAUUGUAAUCAAUAAUAUUUUUAUACAUUUUAAACAUUAACACUCUGGGCUCUAUCCUGGCCAUUUGUGGACACUUCACUUAUUCUUUUUUUUGACUACUGCACUGCAGUGGACCAAAAGAAUGACACGGGUUUGAUCUUAAGGAUCUAAUAGUUGUGUGUGUUGUGCAUGACAUUGCCACACAAAUAUGUAUUUGCAAGAUAGAGUAGAAUAAAUUAUGACGCAUGAAAUAUUACAUAGGCUGCAGUGAAUUUCUGUUGAUACAGACUAUUGAGCUUUGAGUUUCCCAGUCAAACUUAGCUUUGAAGCACCUGCUAAAAACACUUUUACUCUUGUACAUUUCAAAACAAGACACCAUAGCCAAAAUAUUAACAAAAUAUAUAUUAUUAAAAAAUUCAAAGCUGCAGCACAUACAGCAACAAACACCGUUAGUAAAUGUGUCCUGGAGUUUAUGCAGGUGCAGAAAGUGCUGCUGCUGUAAGUCAGCCUAACAGCUUCCAGAUCACUUAUUUUUCUGGAAAGAUGGUAGGAAGGGCAUCACUGCUCAUUUCUACAGUCUCCCAGAUCUUGGAAUACAAUCCCUUUGUACCAUGAAACCACUUCGCAGUACUAGGAGUCCACUAAAACCUAUAAAGAGAGUGAUCCUGGAAGAAAUGGGGCACACACUAGUGACCUCAACAAUUGCAAGACAGCCUUUUCCCCGAUGCUCAGAUACAAUUUUGAUUUUGAUGAAAAGGACUGGUGCUAUUUUAAAGAGUCACGUCGGCAAAAGUAGAAAAAUGUUUUAAGAAAUAUACAUUUUAUAGCAUUUUGUGAACAUACACAAAAAGUGGCCAUUUUUGGCAACAAACAAGCUGAGAGAGAGUUUUAUAUUUUUGGCUCUCCUUGAACAAAAAUAAUAGUGCAUAAUAAUCAAUGUUGAUGUUAAUCAAUUAGAUGUCCCAGACUCUACUAUUAAUAAUACAGCAGCCCCUCGUUUAUCGCUGGUGUUACGUUCAAAAAAUAACCCGCGGUAGGUGAAAUCCAUGAAGUAGCCAACUUUAUUUUUUACAAUUAGGGGAGAUGUUAAGACUGUAAAACCCCUCACUACAUGCUUUAUACACUUUUCUCAGACAGGCAUGAACAUUUUCACACUUUUCUCUUUGUUUAAACACUCUUAGAGUUCAAACCUUCGUAGAAACAUAAGUCCAUGUAUUAUGGAAUGAAACCUAAAGAAGCAUUUGAGGGUGCAAAACGUUUCGUCGGCAUUGUUGUGUUUGUUUGGGAGAAAACUUACAAACAUACA